rnacentral:lncRNA from 1 species
AGACAGUCCUGUGUCCUGUGUGCAGCCAGUCAUGAAGUAGAGAUGCUGGGUAAAUAUCAUCUCUCCACCUGGCUUCCCAGUGAUUCCACAUCUGAGAAAAGGGCGUUGGAGGUUUAUGUGCUACAUUAGUAAGACUGGUUCUACUCAUGACAUCGAGAGGCUAUGAUUUUGACUUCAAACCCCUGUGCACAAGGAAAUACCAUACCUGGAAAAACCAGUUGGGGAUUCCUCCCUUACAAGACCAUACCUGGAAAAACCAGUUGGGGAUUCCUCCCUUACAAGACCAUACCUGGAAAAACCAGUUGGGGAUUCCUCCCUUACAAGACCAUACCUGGAAAAACCAGUU